AGUUCUGUUGAAAGUUCAAGGACUCAGAAAACUAGGUCUUUCACCUCCAAAUUUCCUUACUUUGAGUGUCUCAUGACCAAGUCCUGUGUGGAGAAAUCUUUUCUCCUGACCAUUCCCAAAGCCUUCUCUCACUCACACUUUCCCCCAGCAAAGCUGAAGGUUGUCCUCAGGAACUCAGCAGGGAAAACUUGGGAAGUGAACUGCAUCUACCAUGCAAAAAGACAUUCCUUGUCUGGAGGGUGGAGUACCUUUGUACGUGAAAACAGUCUCAAGCAAGGUGGCACCUGCCGAUUUGAGCUUGUUGAAAAAAAUGUAAUGCAGGUCCAUGUUUUAUGAUUGAGCAAGAAGUGAAGCAUAUAUGCAGUAUUGAAAGCUCUGAUGAUGAUCCCCUCUCAUGUUUCUCAGUUAUGUCAUUUUUGGGUUUGUGAAAUUGUGGCUUUUCACCUUUACAAUGACUUCAUCCACAAUGGCCAGAUGAUCUUUGUUAAUGGGCCACUGAAAGAAAUUCAGUCUUGCAACAUGAUGUUGUAUGGGAUGAA